rnacentral:rRNA from 1 species
UGGGGAAUAUUGCACAAUGGGGGAAACCCUGAUGCAGCGACGCCGCGUGAGCGAGGAAGUAUUUCGGUAUGUAAAGCUCUAUCAGCAGGGAAGAAGAAAUGACGGUACCUGACCAAGAAGCACCGGCUAAAUACGUGCCAGCAGCCGCGGUAAUACGUAUGGUGCAAGCGUUAUCCGGAUUUACUGGGUGUAAAGGGAGCGCAGGCGGUACGGCAAGUCUGGUGUGAAAGCCCGGGGCUCAACCCCGGUACUGCAUUGGAAACUGCCGGACUAGAGUGUCGGAGGGGUAAGUGGAAUUCCUAGUGUAGCGGUGAAAUGCGUAGAUAUUAGGAGGAACACCAGUGGCGAAGGCGGCUUACUGGACGAUGACUGACGCUGAGGCUCGAAAGCGUGGGGAGCAAACAG